rnacentral:rRNA from 1 species
AUUGAACGCUGGCGGCAUGCCUUACACAUGCAAGUCGAACGGCAGCACGGGUGCUUGCACCUGGUGGCGAGUGGCGAACGGGUGAGUAAUACAUCGGAACAUGUCCUGUAGUGGGGGAUAGCCCGGCGAAAGCCGGAUUAAUACCGCAUACGAUCUACGGAUGAAAGCGGGGGACCUUCGGGCCUCGCGCUAUAGGGUUGGCCGAUGGCUGAUUAGCUAGUUGGUGGGGUAAAGGCCUACCAAGGCGACGAUCAGUAGCUGGUCUGAGAGGACGACCAGCCAGACUGGGACUGAGACACGGCCCAGACUCCUACGGGAGGCAGCAGUGGGGAAUUUUGGACAAUGGGCGAAAGCCUGAUCCAGCAAUGCCGCGUGUGUGAAGAAGGCCUUCGGGUUGUAAAGCACUUUUGUCCGGAAAGAAAUCCUUGGCUCUAAUACGGUCGGGGGAUGACGGUACCGGAAGAAUAAGCACCGGCUAACUACGUG